rnacentral:rRNA from 1 species
GUGGCGGACGGGUGAGUAACGCGUGAGAAUCUGCCCUCAGGAGGGGGAUAACGGCUGGAAACGGCCGCUAAUACCCCAUAUGCCGAGAGGUGAAAUGAAAUUCGCCUGAGGAUGAGCUCGCGUCUGAUUAGCUAGUUGGUAGGGUAAAGGCCUACCAAGGCGACGAUCAGUAGCUGGUCUGAGAGGAUGAUCAGCCACACUGGGACUGAGACACGGCCCAGACUCCUACGGGAGGCAGCAGUGGGGAAUUUUCCGCAAUGGGCGAAAGCCUGACGGAGCAACGCCGCGUGAGGGAUGAAGGCCUCUGGGCUGUAAACCUCUUUUAUCAAGGAAGAAGAUCUGACGGUACUUGAUGAAUAAGCCACGGCUAAUUCCGUGCCAGCAGCCGCGGUAAUACGGGAGUGGCAAGCGUUAUCCGGAAUUAUUGGGCGUAAAGCGUCCGCAGGCGGUCUUACAAGUCUGUCGUUAAAGCGUGGAGCUUAACUCCAUUUCAGCGAUGGAAACUGUAAGACUAGAGUGUGGUAGGGGCAGAGGGAAUUCCCGGUGUAGCGGUGAAAUGCGUAGAUAUCGGGAAGAACACCAGUGGCGAAGGCGCUCUGCUGGGCCAUAACUGACGCUCAUGGACGAAAGCCAGGGGAGCGAAAGGGAUUAGAUACCCCUGUAGUCCUGGCCGUAAACGAUGAACACUAGGUGUCGGGGGAAUCGACCCCCUCGGUGUCGUAGCCAACGCGUUAAGUGUUCCGCCUGGGGAGUACGCACGCAAGUGUGAAACUCAAAGGAAUUGACGGGGGCCCGCACAAGCGGUGGAGUAUGUGGUUUAAUUCGAUGCAACGCGAAGAACCUUACCAGGGUUUGACAUCCUGCGAAUCCCUUGGAAACGAGGGAGUGCCUUCGGGAACGCAGUGACAGGUGGUGCAUGGCUGUCGUCAGCUCGUGUCGUGAGAUGUUGGGUUAAGUCCCGCAACGAGCGCAACCCACGUCUUUAGUUGCCAGCAUUUAGUUGGGCACUCUAGAGAGACUGCCGGUGAUAAACCGGAGGAAGGUGUGGAUGACGUCAAGUCAUCAUGCCCCUUACAUCCUGGGCUACACACGUACUACAAUGCUACGGACAAAGGGCAGCAAACUCGCGAGAGCUAGCCAAUCCCAUAAACCGUGGCUCAGUUCAGAUCGUAGGCUGCAACUCGCCUACGUGAAGGAGGAAUCGCUAGUAAUCGCAGGUCAGCAUACUGCGGUGAAUACGUUCCCGGGCCUUGUACACACCGCCCGUCACACCAUGGAAGUUGGCCACGCCCGAAGUCGUUACUCCAACCCUUGUGGAGGAGGAUGCCGAAGGUGGGGCUGAUGACCGGGGUGAAGUCGUAACAAGGUAGCCGUACCGGAAGGUGC